GCUGUGCCGAGCCGAGCAGGGCCGGUGAGGGGAAAUACAGAGAGCCGAGAGUGCUCUGAGCUGGCCAGGAGUGUGUCCUGCCUUUGGAGGAUGGAAUGGAGGCCGCCAGUGUCACACAGCCUGCAAAAUGAGGUUUUUACAAAUGCAGAGAAGACUCGAAAGGACAGCAAUUCGAUGAUGGAGAAGAGGUGAAGAAAAAACGAGAGCAGUGUUGUCAGCCAU